UACAGAGGUCCCAAGCGUUGUUCGGAUUCACUGGGCGUAAAGGGUGCGUAGGCGGUUGGGUAAGUCAGACGUGAAAUCCCUCAGCUUAACUGGGGAACUGCGUCUGAGACUGGCAGGCUCGAGUGCAGGAGAGGAACGCGGAAUUCCAGGUGUAGCGGUGAAAUGCGUAGAUAUCUGGAGGAACACCGGUGGCGAAGGCGGCAUCCUGGACCGACACUGACGCUGAGGCGCGAAAGCUAGGGGAGCAAACGGG
rnacentral:rRNA from 1 species